GACGAACGCUGACGGCGUGCUUAACACAUGCAAGUCGAACGGUGAAGCGCCUUCCUUUUUGGUGGGUGUGGAUGAGUGGCGAACGGGUGAGUAACACGUGAGUAACCUGCCCCCUUCUUCUGGAUAACCGCAUGAAAGUGUGGCUAAUACGGGAUAUUCUGGGUCUGUCGCAUGAUGGGUCUGGGAAAGAUAUUGUUUCGGUGGGGGAUGGGCUCGCGGCCUAUCAGCUUGUUGGUGGGGUGAUGGCCUACCAAGGCGGUGACGGGUAGCCGGCCUGAGAGGGUGGACGGUCACACUGGGACUGAGACACGGCCCAGACUCCGACGGGAGGCAGCAGUGGGGAAUAUUGCACAAUGGGCGCAAGCCUGAUGCAGCGACGCCGCGUGAGGGAUGGAGGCCUUCGGGUUGUGAACCUCUUUCGCCAGUGAAGCAGGCCUGCCUCGUUUGUGGGUGGGUUGACGGUAGCUGGAUAAGAAGCGCCGGCUAACUACGUG
rnacentral:rRNA from 1 species